GUCGCCCCCUGCUGGACAAAACCAGGAAGUACAGACGAACUGGAGAAGUUAACUUCUGAAAUUCUGCAUUAAAACUCAGAGUCCCUCCACAGCACCCUGCCGGCCUGACCGAGCUCCCCCUCCAGAGGAAACAGCACCCGGCCCACCGCGUGACGCUUACACUGCUGCUCCACACUCAGCACACACACACUCAGGGUUUACAAGCUCUAAACCUUCAUGUCCUCACCUGGAAGACGAAGCAGUCGUUGAACUCCGGGUCGGGCCCCGUGCCCCGGGCCUUGGCCUGUCGGGGCCGCCGGUCGUCAGGGAGCAGCCGGAGCUCCACCAGCG